UUUCCCUAACCCUCAGCGCCGUUCUCUCAAACUUUCUCCUUGCUUCAUCCUCAACCCUCACUGAAACCCUCCGAACGCCACAGCCUCCGCCGCCUAUUGGCUCCGAUGAGAGCCUAGACAUCACCUAACCUAUUCCGACCUUAACCCCUCCAAAUACCAACCUAAAAAACAAGACCCAAAACCAAACUACCUUCAAAAAAUUCCCAACCAGUUUCAAAACUCCGGUAGCCACACAAAACCACGGCCGCCGUGGCCUUCCCCCUUCCCAAACGACUCCGAUGUUAUGUCUAAAGGCCCGAUGGAAACCCCUAAACCGCUAUUUUCUUACCACAGACCCUAGAUCUAGCCCACUAAAACGGAACCCCCACCUCUGCUCGAACUAGACGAAACCAAACAACGUUAAAAGAAGGGAAACGGUGGCUUACCCUCGGUCUUUCGCCUAGGCGCUCAAAGCUCGUUCCAAGGUCAUUUGGGCCUCGGUGAGCACGGGCGGAAGUAAUGGUGGUGGCCUCGGCCUCGGUGGAUGGCCGACAGGCGUGGGUCUCCCUCGAUAAAUUCGAGCACUGUCUUGGGUUCUCUGUGCAAGCUGGUUUGCGGCUCAAGGAGGACUGGGAGCUGUUGGAUCUCGUUAGAUCCAACGGUGAUAGCUUGACGGUGCCGGAACUUAAACCAAAAAUCCUAAUGGUCCCUUGAUCUGGACCGUUAGAUGAGAAGCAGAUCUAACGGUCCAGGGCAUGAGGCAGCUGGAUAAUAUGAUGGAGACUAGGGUUUCCACAAUUGGGCUACAACAAUGGGUUUCAACAUCCAAGCCGGGCCUGCUUUGAUUUGGACUCCAUUUGGGCCAACCUGGUCCAAUCUGUUGUAAUUUGGACUAUAACAAACAUAAAUAAGACAUUAAUUAGUAUUUA